UACAGAGGGUGCGAGCGUUAUUCGGAAUUACUGGGCGUAAAGCGUGCGUAGACGGCUAUCUAAGUCGGGUGUGAAAGCCCCGGGCUCAACCUGGGAAUUGCAUUCGAGACUGAAUAGCUAGGGUACGGUAGAGGGAAGCGGAAUUUCCGGUGUAGCGGUGAAAUGCGUAGAUAUCGGAAGGAACAUCAGUGGCGAAAGCGGCUUCCUGGACCAGUACCGACGUUCAGGCACGAAAGCGUGGGGAGUAAACAGG
rnacentral:rRNA from 1 species